GAUGAACGCUGGCGGCGUGCCUAAUACAUGCAAGUCGAGCGAACGGACGAGAAGCUUGCUUCUCUGAUGUUAGCGGCGGACGGGUGAGUAACACGUGGAUAACCUACCUAUAAGACUGGGAUAACUUCGGGAAACCGGAGCUAAUACCGGAUAAUAUUUUGAACCGCAUGGUUCAAAAGUGAAAGACGGUCUUGCUGUCACUUAUAGAUGGAUCCGCGCUGCAUUAGCUAGUUGGUAAGGUAACGGCUUACCAAGGCAACGAUGCAUAGCCGACCUGAGAGGGGGAUCGGCCACACUGGAACUGAGACACGGUCCAGACUCCUACGGGAGGCAGCAGUAGGGAAUCUUCCGCAAUGGGCGAAAGCCUGACGGAGCAACGCCGCGUGAGUGAUGAAGGUCUUCGGAUCGUAAAACUCUGUUAUUAGGGAAGAACAUAUGUGUAAGUAACUGUGCACAUCUUGACGGUACCUAAUCAGAAAGCCACGGCGAACUACG
rnacentral:rRNA from 1 species